rnacentral:rRNA from 1 species
UACGGAGGGGGCUAGCGUUGUUCGGAAUCACUGGGCGUAAAGCGCACGUAGGCGGCCUGAUAAGUCGGGUGUGAAAGCCCUGGGCUCAACCCAGGAAGUGCACUCGAAACUGUCAGGCUUGAAUAUGGAAGAGGGUCGCGGAAUUCCCGGUGUAGAGGUGAAAUUCGUAGAUAUCGGGAGGAACACCAGUGGCGAAGGCGGCGCCUGGGACGGUACUGACGCUGAGACGCGAAAGCGUGGGGAGCG